AAUCUUGGGGGAUGAUUGAAGUCUGCUUGAUUGAAGCGGGGUCUGCAUAGUACACCUUUGCUGCAAUGUCAUCUCAGAACACCGGAGGAAUGAACACUUGAGAUGGAUAACAAAGUUGCUACCGUAUUAGCCUAUCUUGAGGGCAAUAGGUCCGUUGGAGAAGACUAUUCGUUACAGUAAGUUUUGAUUGGGCUAUUAUACAAGGCUAUUUUACUUGCUUACAGGCUAUUGUUAAAUGUGUUACACUUGUUUUCUCGACUUUUACGAUCACAUGUAAGACCACGUGCAAUUCAAAUGUAACUUAAUGUUCUUUGUGUAUAGGAGCAAUUUCGAGAAACCUUGCAACCCGGUAUGCCACGGAUGAGGGUUUCCAGGUUCAGGUCACCCGCUACCUGAAAGGGACCUCCGAUCAAGAAGGCCAAAGAAGGUGGUGUGCAGGGAGAGGGAGACACAGUAGCGCCACAUCAAGAG
rnacentral:lncRNA from 1 species